UACGUAGGGACCGAGCGUUGUCCGGAAUCAUUGGGCGUAAAGAGCGUGUAGGCGGCCAUACAGGUCAGCUGUGAAAACUCGAGGCUCAACCUCGAGACGUCGGUUGAAACCGUAUGGCUAGAGUCCGGAAGAGGAGAGUGGAAUUCCCGGUGUAGCGGUGAAAUGCGCAGAUAUCGGGAAGAACACCCGUGGCGAAGGCGGCUCUCUGGGACGGUACUGACGCUGAGACGCGAAAGCGUGGGGAGCGAACAGG
rnacentral:rRNA from 1 species